rnacentral:rRNA from 1 species
CUACGGAGGAUCCGAGCGUUAUCCGGAUUUAUUGGGUUUAAAGGGUGCGCAGGCGGGAGAUUAAGUCGGCGGUGAAAUUUUGCAGCUCAACUGUAAAAGUGCCUUCGAAACUGGUUUCCUUGAGUGUGGAUGAAGUAGGCGGAAUUUGUGGUGUAGCGGUGAAAUGCAUAGAUAUCACGAGGAACUCCGAUUGCGCAGGCAGCUUACUAAACUACUACUGACGCUCAGGCACGAAGGCGUGGGGAUCAAACAGGAUUAGAUACCCUGGUAGUCCACGCAGUAAACGAUGAUUACUAGCUGUUUGCGAUACAAUGUAAGCGGCUGAGCGAAAGCGUUAAGUAAUCCACCUGGGGAGUACGUUCGCAAGAAUGAAACUCAAAUGAAUUGACGGGG